UGGGGAAUAUUGCACAAUGGGGGGAAACCCGUGAUGCAGCGACGCCGCGUGGGUGAAGAAGUAUUUCGGUAUGUAAAGCCCUAUCAGCAGGGAAGAAAAUGACGGUACCUGAUCAAGAAGCCCCGGCUAACUACGUGCC
rnacentral:rRNA from 1 species